UAGGGAAUAUUGGACAAUGGGGGCAACCCUGAUCCAGCCAUGCCGCGUGAGUGAAGAAGGCCCUCGGGUUGUAAAGCUCUUUUGUCCGGAAAGAAAAGCAUUCGGUGAAUACCCGGAUGUUCUGACGGUACCGGAAGAAUAAGCACCGGCUAACUUCGUGCCAGCAGCCGCGGUAAUACGAAGGGUGCAAGCGUUACUCGGAAUUACUGGGCGUAAAGCGUGCGUAGGUGGUUGUUUAAGUCUGAUGUGAAAGCCCUGGGCUCAACCUGUGAAUGGCAUUGGAAACUAGGCAGCUAGAGUGCAGUAGAGGGUAGUGGAAUUCCGGGUGUAGCAGUGAAAUGCGUAGAGAUCGGGAGGAACAUCUGUGGCGAAGGCGAAUGCCUGGACCAGCACUGACACUGAGGCACGAAAGCGUGGGGAGCAAACA
rnacentral:rRNA from 1 species